CCUACGGGUGGCAGCAGUGGGGAAUAUUGGACAAUGGGGGCAACCCUGAUCCAGCCAUGCCGCGUGUGUGAAGAAGGCCCUCGGGUUGUAAAGCUCUUUCAGUGAGGAAGAACGCCUGGUGGUUAAUACCCAUCAGGAAAGACAUCACUCACAGAAGAAGCACCGGCUAACUCCGUGCCAGCAGCCGCGGUAAUACGGAGGGUGCGAGCGUUAAUCGGAAUUACUGGGCGUAAAGCGCGCGUAGGUGGCUUGAUAAGCCGGUUGUGAAAGCCCCGGGCUCAACCUGGGAACGGCAUCCGGAACUGUCAAGCUAGAGUGCAGGAGAGGAAGGUAGAAUUCCCGGUGUAGCGGUGAAAUGCGUAGAGAUCGGGAGGAAUACCAGUGGCGAAGGCGGCCUUCUGGACUGACACUGACACUGAGGUGCGAAAGCGUGGGUAGCAAACAGGAUUAGAUACCCUAGUAGUC
rnacentral:rRNA from 1 species